rnacentral:rRNA from 1 species
AGUAAAUAGAUACCCAGGUAGUCCACGCCAUAAACGUUGUGCACUAGGUGUGGGAGGUAUCGACCCCUUCCGUGCCGCAGCUAAACGCAUUAAGUGCACCGCCUGGGGAGUACGGUCGCAAGACUGAAACUCAAAGGAAUUGACGGGGGCCCGCACAAGCGGUGGAGCAUGUGGUUUAAUUCGAGGCAACGCGAAGAACCUUACCCAGGCUUGACAUCCCGGGAAUCUCCUGGAAACAGGGGAGUACCCUUCGGGGGACCCGGAGACAGGUGUUGCAUGGCUGUCGUCAGCUCGUGUCGUGAGAUGUUGGGUUAAGUCCCGCAACGAGCGCAACCCUGUUCCUAGCUACCAGCGGUUCGGCCGGGCACUCUAGGGAGACUGCCGCUGAUAAGGCGGAGGAAGGUGGGGACGACGUCAAGUCAUCAUGGCCCUUACGCCUGGGGCUACACACGUGCUACAAUGGUCGGUACAAAGGGUUGCAAGACCGCGAGGUGGAGCUAAUCCCAAAAAGCCGGCCUCAGUUCGGAUUGGAGUCUGCAACUCGACUCCAUGAA